rnacentral:rRNA from 1 species
CAUAAUCAUUAGUUUUUUAAUUGUAAACUUGUAUGAAGGGUUGAACAAAGGAGAAGCUGUCUCUAUUAUAAAUUUUGAAUUUGACUUUUAAGUGAAAAGGCUUAAAUGAUUUAGAAAGACGAUAAGACCCUAUAAAGUUUUAUAAAUUGUUAAUAUUUUAAUAAAAUUUAUAUAAAAUUAUAAUGUUUUUAUUUUAUUUUAUUGGGGCGAUAAGAAUAUAAUUUUUUUAACUGUUUAAUAAGUAUACAUUUAUUUAUGAAUAAGAUUAUAAUUGAUCCUUUUUAAAGAUUACAAGUCUAAGUUACUUUAGGGAUAACAGCGUUAUUUUUCUUGAGAGUUCAUAUCGAAAGAGAAGUUUGCGACCUCGAUGUUGAAUUAAAUUAUCUAUAUAAUGAAGAAGUUAUAUGAG